rnacentral:rRNA from 1 species
AGGACGAACGCUGGCGGCGUGCCUAAUGCAUGCAAGUCGAGCGACGGAUAGGUGCGGGUAACCAAGCCUAUUACGGAGCGGCGAACGGGUGAGUAACACGUGAGCAACCUGCCCCGCAGAUCGGGAUAGCCCAGGGAAACUUGGAUUAAUACCGGAUAUUCUCCUUUAACCACAUGAUUGUUGGAGGAAACGCUUUUGCGCUACGGGAUGGGCUCACGGCCUAUCAGCUUGUUGGUGGGGUAACGGCCUACCAAGGCUACGACGGGUAGCUGGUCUGAGAGGACGAUCAGCCACACUGGGACUGAGACACGGCCCAGACUCCUACGGGAGGCAGCAGCAGGGAAUCUUGCGCAAUGGGCGAAAGCCUGACGCAGCAACGCCGCGUGGGGGAUGGAAGGCCUUCGGGUUAGUAAACCCCCGUUUAGGAGGACGAAAGUUGACGGUACCUCCGAGAAGUAACGACCCGGCCAACUACGUGCCAGACACGCCGAC